GACGAACGCUGGCGGCGUGCCUAAUACAUGCCUUUAGAACGCUGAAGACUUUACCUUGCUAAAGUUGGAAGAGUUGCGAACGGGUGAGUAACGCGUAGGUAACCUGCCUACUAGCGGGGGAUAACUAUUGGAAACGAUAGCUAAUACCGCAUAACAGCCAUUUCACCCUUGUUAGAUGCUUGAAAGGACCAAUUGCUUCACUAUUAGAUGGACCUGCGUUGUAUUAGCUAGUUGGUGAGGUAACGGCUCACCAAGGCGACGAUACAUAGCCGACCCUGAGAGGGUGAUCGGCCACACUGGGACUGAGACACGGCCCAGACUCCUACGGGAGGCAGCAGUAGGGAAUCUUCGGCAAUGGGGGCAACCCUGACCGAGCAACGCCGCGUGAGUGAAGAAGGUUUUCGGAUCGUAAAGCUCUGUUGUAAGAGAAGAACGUGUGUGAGAGUGGAAAGUUCACACAGUGACGGUAACUUACCAGAAAGGGACGGCUAACUACGUGCCAGCAGCCGCGGUAAUACGUAGGUCCCGAGCGUUGUCCGGAUUUAUUGGGCGUAAAGCGAGCGCAGGCGGUUUAAUAAGUCUGAAGUUAAAGGCAGUGGCUUAACCAUUGUUCGCUUUGGAAACUGUUAGACUUGAGUGCAGAAGGGGAGAGUGGAAUUCCAUGUGUAGCGGUGAAAUGCGUAGAUAUAUGGAGGAACACCGGUGGCGAAAGCGGCUCUCUGGUCUGUAACUGACGCUGAGGCUCGAAAGCGUGGGGAGCAAACAGGAUUAGAUACCCUGGUAGUCCACGCCGUAAACGAUGAGUACUUGGUGUUAGGCCCUUUCCGGGGCCUUAGUGCGGCAGCUAACGCAUUAAGCACUCCGCCUGGGGAGGGGGACGGCAGGGUGGAAACUCAUAGGAAUUGACGGGGGCCCGCACAAGCGGCGGAGCAUGUGGUUUAAUUCGAAGCAACGCGAGGAACCUUCCCAGGUCUUGACAUCCCGAUGCUAUUCCUAGAGAUAGGAAGUUUCUUCGGAACAUCGGUGACAGGUGGUGCAUGGUUGUCGUCAGCUCGUGUCGUGUGAUGUUGGGUUAAGUCCCGCAACGAGCGCAACCCCUCUUGUUAGUUGCCAUCAUUAAGUUGGGCACUCUAGCGAGACUGCCGGUAAUAAACCGGAGGAAGGUGGGGAUGACGUCAAAUCAUCAUGCCCCUUAUGACCUGGGCUACACACGUGCUACAAUGGUUGGUACAACGAGUCGGGAGUCGGUGACGGCAAGCAAAUUUUUUAAAGCCAAUCUCAGUUCGGAUUGUAGGCUGCAACUCGCCUACAUGAAGUCGGAAUAGCUAGUAAUCGCGGAUCAGCACGCCGCGGUGAAU
rnacentral:rRNA from 1 species